GGGGGAAUAUUGGACAAAGGGCGCAAGCCUGAUCCAGCCAUGCCGCGUGAGUGAUGAAGGCCCUAGGGUUGUAAAGCUCUUUCACCGGUGAAGAUAAUGACGGUAACCGGAGAAGAAGCCCCGGCUAACUUCGUGCCAGCAGCCGCGGUAAUACGAAGGGGGCUAGCGUUGUUCGGAUUUACUGGGCGUAAAGCGCACGUAGGCGGACUUUUAAGUCAGGGGUGAAAUCCCGGGGCUCAACCCCGGAACUGCCUUUGAUACUGGAAGUCUUGAGUAUGGUAGAGGUGAGUGGAAUUCCGAGUGUAGGAGUGAAAUUCGUAGAUAUUCGGAGGAACACCAGUGGCGAAGGCGGCUCACUGGACCAUUACUGACGCUGAGGUGCGAAAGCGGGGGGAGCAAACAGG
rnacentral:rRNA from 1 species